UACGUAGGGGGCAAGCGUUGUCCGGAAUCAUUGGGCGUAAAGCGCGUGUAGGCGGCUCGGUAAGUCUGCUGUGAAAGUCCAGGGCUCAACCCUGGGAUGCCGGUGGAUACUGUCGAGCUCGAGUCCGGAAGAGGCGAGUGGAAUUCCUGGUGUAGCGGUGAAAUGCGCAGAUAUCAGGAGGAACACCAAUUGCGAAGGCAGCUCGCUGGGACGGUACUGACGCUGAGACGCGAAAGCGUGGGGAGCAAACAGG
rnacentral:rRNA from 1 species